GCACUGGCAAAAUCCAGUGCCGGACGUGGAAAUCCGAAUUGCAAGGCGCAUAGUCGCCAACACAUGUUGGUUUUUU
rnacentral:sRNA from 1 species